rnacentral:rRNA from 1 species
UACGUAGGGGGCAAGCGUUGUCCGGAAUCAUUGGGCGUAAAGCGCGUGUAGGCGGCUCGAUAAGUCUGCUGUGAAAGUCCAGGGCUCAACCCUGGGAUGCCGGUGGAUACUGUCGAGCUCGAGUCCGGAAGAGGCGAGUGGAAUUCCUGGUGUAGCGGUGAAAUGCGCAGAUAUCGGGAGGAACUCCGGCGGCGAAAGCGGUGCACUGGUGGAUUUCUGACGCUGAGGUGCGAAAGCCAGGGGAGCAAACGGG